UUUCCGUAGGUGAACCUGCGGAAGGAUCAUUAACAUGUAAUUCAGUCCCCUUGGCUGUGUUAUAUAUAUACCCACUCUGUGUACCUUCUCCUGUUGCUUCCGCUGGGUGUGUAAUUCGCCCGGCGGAAGGGUAAAAAUAACCUCUGAGUAUUGAUGAAAUCUCUGUCUGAACCGAAUAGAAAGAAAAAUGUUAAAACUUUCAGCAACGGAUCUCUUGGUUCUCGCAUCGAUGAAGACCGCAGC
rnacentral:misc_RNA from 1 species